AUAGCAACAGCAGCGUAGCUGAACAUCUUACGGAUGGCCCAGGGCUCCAAAGGCUCGUUUCCUAAGUGAGAGAGAGCCUGGCUGAAGCUGUAUUACCAUUCAUUCUCCAGCCUCCGAAGUCUCAAAGCAUCACUUCCACCAUACUCUAACUGUCAAGACAAACACAAAGGCCCAGAGAAGGGGUCUCACUAUGUUGUCUGGAGUGCAGUGGCUGGAGUGGAGUGGCUAUUCACAGGAUUCUUGGAAUGGACUGUAAAAGUGUGGAGUCAAGACUUUGUGUUUCCUCUCUAACAUGUAAAGAGCUUAGAAGUUGUCGCUAUUGCCCUUACAACAAAAUGAAGCUGGACAAACUGAAAAUCAAUGACUUUUCUUGGACUCACUAUAGAGCUGAGUUUGCAGAGUAAACCACUACCCUGAAAUCUGGAAAGGCAGGUGCACCCAUAGAUCCUCAGCUGAGAUCCAAUUACCUGAAAUAGAAGCUGCCAUUAGGAACACUUAAAAG
rnacentral:lncRNA from 1 species